CUGGCUUCUCUAAAUUACGUCAGCUUACGACACCUUAUCUCCGAGACCGCCGCAGCGUGGCCCUUCUUCGAAAAACAAAGCUGGAGCAAUAUUGCGAAUGUUGCAUCAUUCUUAUAAGUUUAGUCAGUUUAGAUCGACUUUCGAACUGUUCACGUAUUUCUAAGCGGAAUAAAACGUAUUUUGAGGAAUAUAGUGGUUUAAUUUAAGUAAAAAGACUAAUUAUCUGUCCCUAAUCUAACAUCAGAAGUGAGAUUAUGCCCCAGUGUGCCCAAAAGUAGUGAAAAGUGAAGUUUUUGAACAUUAAGACAGUAUUGCGUAACAUGACGACAUGUGCCAAUUUCUGACGAUACCGAUUUUGAUCUAUCAGAAGAAUAAUUUCUCCUUUGUAUUGGUGAUCGUUAAAGGAUAAAUAAACAAUAAAACAAUCAAUUUGUGAGUGCCUUCAGAACGAAAACAUUAAAUUGAAGAGAAGACAUUGUUCCGUCGGAGUGUGUUGGAGAUUCAAAUGGAAAUGUAUCAACAAAUGUCGAGCCGAUUUCUGAAUAUUCUAAAGGUACAGUACAGUCACAGUACAGCGAAAAGAAGCAUUUAUUAAUUUAUUCGCUAUCCAACAACGACAAAUUGCUGACUUAGCGAAACAAACAAAGAUGGCGAUGAUGUCAUCGUCGUAUUUGAAGCCAACGCCUCAUCGUAGCAGAUGUAUCUUGUGCGCAAGCUUCGUUUUGUUACACAACCUGUAAACGAGCAAUCUACGAAACUACGAUCAAGACAACAGCCGAACAGCGUAUACGCAAUUCACGAAUGGCUGAAAGACUACGAAGCGUGACGAAAUUCAUCGAAAUACAAAGAAGUUAAAGAUCGAGUCGGACCGAGUCAACGAUAAGAUGACGAUUAUUAAACAAGCAAGACUUUAAAAACAUAGAGUAAUCAAUACUGUCGCCGAACGCCGGACGUUUAUGAUGACCUCAUCACCGCUUUUUCCGAGAGAGAUGGCUACAGCUCAGGCAACUGUUAUUGUUGAGCAAAGAAAACCAACUUGGAUCACGGUGCUUCCCGCUGCUUGCCGCUGCAGAAGAUAAACACAAUCCAUUCGAGAGUUGGUCACAUACCAGAUGUGUUACGUCAUGGAUCAAGUUCCAGAUUAAUGGUUCCUCAGCAUUUUCCGCGGCGACGCGACGCACCGCCACCGAUGUCGUCAAUCCGGACAAGGCUAUUGCAGAAGCUGAAGGACGAUUGGAAAAUAGCCCGAAUAAGCGAGCUCAGCACUUUAAUGUCUAGCACAGCCAAACUGAUUUGUUUACUUCUGAACAAAAGUUGAGUAUUAAAAAGUUUUAGUAAUAUUGAGAAUAUUAUUAAUCAAACUAUUUUAUUUUUAUUUGUUUAUGGUUGGAGAUCUCAUGACCGAGAAAGUUUCUCAGCUGACAGACGACUGUAAGGCCCCACAGUUCGUGCAUUGUUACCUAAGGAUAGAUAUGCGCUGCAUCAGCAACAUAUCAGCAAGAUCGGCGGACCACCGUUGCCGUUCGUAAACAACUAUGACCAUGGCCUUCCACAAUAUAAAAAAAGCUAAGUAUCAGACCAUGUGACAUACAGUCUUACAAACGAUUUAAUUUAGUUCUUACUGGUAAUGUAAGAAUUGGUAAUUUAAUAAGUUGUCAGACAAAACUUAUUUCAGAAUUGAAUUUAAUUAUUUGUUCUCAUUUAGUAAGUUGUCAUUUAAAAGUGGAAAACUUUUAGAAGGGUUAUAAAAGUUAAUCUGUACAAGAAAAAUAAUAAUGCUAUAGUUAAUUUUAAAUUUCAAUGAAAACAGUGGCAGUUAGUUUCCUUUGUAGUUAAGAUAAAAUGCCCAUAUAUUGCCAGAGUUUGUUUUGACAGUUUAUACAGAUUGUUAAAUAGUACAUUACCAAGUUAUGAAGCGUAUUGAAAUCACUAAAAUAAUUUAAAGAUGCAAUCGAACUAAUUUUAUUUCGAACAGUUGGAACCGAACGCUAAAAAAUGUUUUAACACUAGAAUUUACUUUCUGGAAAGAAAUUUAUCGUUUAUUAUGAGAACUUACAGAAAAAAAUUAAAACAUGCAAAAAUGUGAGAUUAACAUUAUCGUUUAACAAUAAGUUCUGGAAUUUUUAAGCUACAUGAACGAAAAUUGUUUCGUGUUUGAAGAUAUUUUUAUAGACAAACAAAAAGGAUUUUGCUUAGGUUUGGUUUGGUAAACACUUUUCAAAAUCAUAACAUUUUGAUAUUUUAUUAUCUUGUAUGAUCAUGUAGAUCAUGUUCUUAUCUUCUUUUAUAUCAGUUGAAUGAGUCUGAAACUGAGAAGCUGAAACUGAAUGAAACUGAGUACUAACUAAGAUAAUAAAAUUAAUUUCUAAGAUCUAACAAUGUCAAAAGUAGACUAGAGAAAUUAGGAUUUGAUAUCUUGAGAAAACUGAUGUUUACAGAUGUUAUCAUAAUUUUAAACAUUCCAUACAACAUAAAUUAGCAGCGUACAAAUCAAUGGUUCAUUCAGCAUGUUCUCUCGCACUAAGUGAAGCUAUCAGAACUAAAGAAUUAGAAACAAUACAAUAAGACAAAACACUAGGUUUAAUAAAAGCAAUAAAUAAAAUAAUGAGAAGUUAAAUGGUACAGCGGUAGCAUUUGAACCGUCUUAGGCCAUAUCAGGUUUACUUUUUAAUGUAAAUAUAGGAAAACAACACUAUCAAUCUAUAAGUUGAACUGUUCAGAAUGCAAUAUCUGUUAUAUAAAGACCGGUAGAAAUUUAGAAGGUAGAUUCAAAGAACAUAGAAGAUCUUUUAUAAAAAAAAAUAUUUCUGCUUGGCAGAUGAAAAAAUCCAUAAGUAUUAAAGGUUCUUUUAGUUGCGGCUUUUGACGAUGUGGUAAAUUUAAAAUGUCCAUAGCCAACAUUCUCAUUUUAGACUUGGGUAAAUGAAAAAGAGUAAAAAAAUAGAAAAUGAAAUUACGCUAAUCAUUUCAUAGAAUCAGGCCAUCCAUUUUCAGAUGGCAAGUGCAUUCAAGUAAUGCAAGUGUUUAGAAAGACGCAGUAGAUAAGACUACUAGAAUUCAUCAAAAUUUACGAGUAUAGAAAACAGACUUAAAAAAAGACAAAAUGCAACUCCAGACAGAGCUGAGAGCUUAUUAGUUCGUGAUGUAUUUUAUUAAAACAAAGCAUUUUUUUUGUUUGUUUAUUUUAGACAUAUGCAUGCUGCAUGUGUUACUUUAUUUUACGUUUUCUUUUGAAGAAGCAUUCUGGGUCCAAUAAAACGCAAAAUGAUAACAAUUAUGGAAUCAAUUUAUAUCCACUUGAUUGAUUUGUUUUUAAGUGUGUGAAAAGGAAAUGCAUCUCUUUUCAAAAAAAUAAUUAAAGUAAAUGACUUUAUUCUUGAAAUGUUUAGAUGGUGGUGUACCUACCAUCAAAAUUGAUUAAAAUAAUUUUAAGAAAAUAUUGUACAACUUGUACCUAAGCCUGUAGCAAAAAAAUAAAGUAUUUUUUUUAUCUGUAGCUUAGAUAAUCGACAGGCAUUCGCUGGGAAAGCAAUGUAAAAUUACAAUAAUUGGAUAUAAUCAGUCAGGUAAAACAACCCUUAAUACCAUUGCUGUAAAUGUCAGGAGUGGACGAGCAUACUCAAAUGAAAAACGUAUGAUCGUAACGCAGUUACAGUAGAGAAUGCCCAGUUUAGUGGAGGCAAAUUAGGCCCUUGAUACAAAGGACCGUUUAAGAUAACGGCUUGUCUGCCUAACGAGCACUAUGCAAUGAUUGUUCCCGUCAGGUUAUAUUUAAAGGUCCCUGUUUUGACAGGCUAUAUUUAAAGGUCCCUGUUUUGACAGGCUAUGUUUAAAGGUCCCUGUUUUGACAGGCUAUAUUUAAAGGUCCCUGUUAUGACAGGCUAUAUUUAAAGGUCCCUGACUAACAGGCUAUAUUUAAAGGUCCCUGUUUAACAGGCUAUAUUUAAAGGUCCCUGUUUAGCAGGCUAUAUUAGAGGUCCCUGUGUAUCAGGCUGUGUUAAAAGGUCCCUGUUUAGCAGGCUAUUUUUAAAGGUCCCUGCGUGGCAGGCAUAAAUUGAUUUUAUUUUAAGGUUUUGAUUCACCAGGUUAUAUUUAAAGGUCCCUGCAUGGCAGGCAUAAAUUGAUUUUAUUUUAAGGUUUUGAUUCACCAGGUUAUAUUUAAAGGUCCCUGCGUGGCAGGCAUAAAUUGAUUUUAUUUUAAGGUUUUGAUUCACCAGGUUAUACUUAAAGGUCCCUGCGUAGCAGGCAUAAAUUGAUUUUAUUUUAAGGUUUCUGAUUCACCAGGCUAUACUUAAAGGUCCCUGCUAGGCAGGCAUGUACAAGGUAUCUAGGACUCUGGUUUGAGUGAAUUAAAGGUCCCUGUCUUAUCAGGCUAUAUUGAGAAGAUGCUUAACUUAAAUGUGAGAAAUUAAUUAAGGUCCCCAAGCCUCUCGUUUGGGCAUGGUUUUACGAACAUAAACUUCGGCAAUGUAAAGCGUCAAGAAUUUGUAUUUUGGUUAAGUUACUUUUAUUUUUGAAAGUUGGAUUCUUAAACUAGUUUUGUUUAGCCUUAACCCCUCAGAGGUUAAUAUGGCAAGCCUUGAAAUUUUUGUUUUGCUUUGAUGUUGUAAAAGUAACUGCCAGUAAAAUCAGUUAAGGAAAUUUUGUCUUCAAGAUUAAUGCAGAUUAAUUCUGAUUUGUUCCCCGAAUAUAUUUUGAACAGUAAGUGUUCUGAAAUAUUUGCAGAUUACCGCUGUCAAAGUUUACACGCUGUCAUGUGUUCAAACUGCAAACGGUGCGAGGACACCCCGACGUCAGGAAGGCCGUGAUAGCUGGCUUCUCUAAAUUACGUCAGCUUACGACACCUUAUCUCCGAGACCGCCGCAGCGUGGCCCUUCUUCGAAAAACAAAGCUGGAGCAAUAUUGCGAAUGUUGCAUCAUUCUUAUAAGUUUAGUCAGUUUAGAUCGACUUUCGAACUGUUCACGUAUUUCUAAGCGGAAUAAAACGUAUUUUGAGGAA